rnacentral:lncRNA from 1 species
UAAAUAAAAAUUAAAGUGUAAAGUACUUUUUUAUUAUUAAUUAUUCCUUAUUUAAACAAUUCACAAUGAAUUAUAUCAUUUAUUUGAUUUGUCUAAAUUUAUUAGGAGUAAAACUAACAAAGGAGCAAAAAAAUUGAGAGAGAAAAAUGUGCUGAGGCAUUUUACAAUUUAUGGAGAUGUAAUGACCUUUUAAAAUUAACUGCAUGAAUUAUAUCAUUUAUUUGAAUUGUCUAAAUUUAUUAGGAAAAACUAUCAAAGGAGCAAAAAAAUUGAGAGAAAGAAAUGUGCUAAGGCAUUUUACAGUUUAUGGAGAUGUACUGACCUUUUAAAAUUAACUGCAUGGAUGUAGAAACAUCUACCCAAGAGCAAAAGCGUCUGCGUACAGGAAAGACGUCGUGAAGAGGAAAAGGUGAUAUAAACAAACUAAGCAUGGAAAAUGGUAAAAUGUAUGCUUUCGUUCGAAAAUAAAUAAAUUGCAUGCUUACUUCACCUAUUGUGAUGUCAUCAAACGCAUCCAAUAACUAUAAGAUAAAAGUUGAGUUCGGCUACGUUGGAUCAGCUCCAUAAUGGAGCACUGAUGAUGACCGAUUAUAGAAAUAAAUACUAAAUCUACACUUACUAAUACGAUUUAAUGGUUCUUAUUAGUGUUCCACCAUGGAGUUGAUCUAACUUAGCCACUGCCUUAUGCAAUCCUUGAUAGCUAUUCCAUGCAUAGUUGUAGGCACCAUCUUGAGCAUCACAAAAAAGAUUAUCUAAUUUUAUUUUUUAAAUAUUUAUUUAUUUAUGUGAUAGAUAACAAAGUAACAAAAAAUUCUCUUAUAAAAGUCUUCUUAAAUAUAAAUAAGUUUAAAUUAUUUUAAUUGAAUUUUUCUCAUUAUAUAUUUUCAAUAAUAAUGAUACAAAAAAAUAAUAUAAUAUUAUUUAAAGAGGGUGAAAUCACUCUUCAAUAUUAUAGAAAGAGAAGACUCUCUCAUUUGAAUCUCUUAAAAAUCCUUUUGUUGAUGUAACUCUUCAAAUAAGAAGUGAAAUCUCAUUAGAAAAGUUUUUUGGUGAAUUUAAUUUAUAUUUCCCCAAAAAGAUCUCUAUCGCAUUCAAAUAAUAGACAGAUUUUUAAGCCAAACAAAUUUUAAAAAUUUCCACCCAAGUCGCAACAAUGAGAUAAUUGUCAUCAGUUGAACAAUAAUGCUAUUUUGGUCGUUUUAGCUGUUGUCGGGCUUCAUGCUGUGAAAAAAAUCAAUAUUUUUCGCAGUAAACAGCAUUUUUCUUGGCAUAAAAUUAACUCAAAUACGAUUAGAUCCACAACAAUCUUAGGUCAAUAUUGCUCAAAAGGUCAACAUCCUCAAGCACAAAUAUCUAGCUCAUCAGUCACUAAAUUAACUAAAACACAACCAGGUCCAUUACAAUUAUCUCAGACGUCGAUCGUCAACCGCUGAUUAAUCUCGAAGAAAAAGCUUUGCUAUAAGCAGGGCUGCGUCAAAACGAAAUUUCCACUCAGGACUUUUUGACUGUUGACAGAAAUUUCCCUCACUGCAUAUUUAGCUGAAGUAUUGGCUAUGGAAUAUUGCUUCAUAAAUCUCUUAACUAAUUUGUCAGUAUAAAUACAUGCUUGACAAAAAAUGGAAUGGAUGAUAGAGCAUACAUUGGGAGCGCCCACCCAAAACUUUUCCAGUACAAAUCUCACAAUAAUUUUUGCAACACACAGCAAAUCAUGUUUUGCUAUGAUUUUUUAUUUUUUAUUUUAUUUAUUUAUUUAUUCAUUUAUUUUCUAGCAUUUUGUUUAUUCAUUUAUUUUCUAGCAUUAACACAAAUAUUUCAUCAUUUUGUUCAACAAUCUAUGACGUUUCUAAGUUGUUUAUACGAAUGUGACAUUUUAUUUAAUUUCUUUUAGGUUAUUUUAGUAUGACGCAUUUUCUUUUUCUUUUUUUAAACAAGAAUGCUACUAACAAAUACAUCUUAAAUAAAAUUUCCUUUUAGUUUCCAUCGCGCAUUCAUUCAACUUGUUUUUUCAGCAGCAUUUGUUUUGUCUUAGCCUUUGGGUUGUCUUGUGGUUCUUGACUCGAGCCUUCAGUCGACCGAUAUGUAACCUCAUUAUCAAUGGCAACUUAAGGACUUUUUGGCUGCCACACGACGACCACCCAUGUUCAUUUGUUGUUUUUCUAUCCCUGUUUUUUCCCCUCCUCUUCCCUUUUCUGAAGGAAAAAUCUUGGAACCAUCUUAUUCUGUGGGCCAAGAUCAUAAAACAUAGAGCAAGGGGCUUAGGUUUAAUUUAGGUAAGUUAAAAACCGAAAGUAACGCGCAAAUUUUAUAAAACCUGCUUGUUUUCAUCAUGACAUCAUAGCCCUUAGCUACAUAUAUAUAUUCAUACAAAUUGAAGUAAGAUUGCUGCUAUUAUAUAUUACAUCAUUAAUUCAAGAGCUUAAGGGUGACUUUAAGUAUAAGCAAAGUAGGCGGUCGCCUAAGGCCGCAUGUGUUAUGAAGGUCCCAUUGUGACCACCUAGACCCCAUAUAUUAAUAAGACUCUUUAUUUUUAG